GGAGCCUGGGAUGAGAGUGAACUCACUUCACUCCAGUCUGCAACUCCGAGUUGCACUGCAAGGAGGAUGACAUAUCAGGGUUCUCACCAUGCAUUGAACAGGUGGCUGUCUGCAUGCUGUUUAGAGCAGAAGCACUCUGCAUGAGUAACUGUUCCUGCACAGUCUCCUGGGUGGAACCAGGGAUGAGAGUGAACUCAUUUCACUCCAGUCUGCAACUCCAAGUUGCACUGCAAGCAGGACGAUGCCACAGUGUUCUCAUCAUGCGUCGAAUAGGAGGAGGACAGGCUCAAAGCAUGGCUUCCCGAUUCACAGCGUGGCCCUGACCUAUCAUCCAGGCAUCUUCAGUCUCUCUGCCUGUUGUGCAAUGACUCUGCAGACCUCUGAAUGAUCAUUUGGUGACAUCCAUGUUCCCUGAAUGCCAAAGCAGUCUGAAAUGUUUCACUGUACGAAAGUCAGGUCUGCGUGAACACCAUGGUGUGUGUGACUGGCCUUCUCAGGCAUGCUGCUUUCCUGUUGGCUUGAGGACUGUAUCACUGCAGGGCAAAAUAUUCCAUAAGCAUAUCCCUGGAGGACAGAGCAAGGGAGGGCCAGCUCCCUGUGCAGCUCACUAGUCCCUAAAUUUUGGGACAUGCAGAAAGGUAUGAGUGGUGGCUCUCCCAGCUGUGAAGGAGUCCUUGUUAUUCUGUGGGAGGCAGCGAAGAUUGAAUGCAGGCUCACUGCACCUUGAUUGGCCAUUUGAACCUUCUGCCAUUGGAUGUCUAGUGGAAGGAACUUCUUAUUCAUGUACUAGGCCCUGCAGCUUUGUUCUGAGGUGCCAACAGGGACAAGGGUGUGCUUACUUUGUGGCCAAAUGGUCCUCGUGAGUUCCAUACCUAGAAGCUGCACUGAGGGCAGAAUUGCUGCGUGCUUUCUGUGAUUCACCAGGCCUCUGUAUGACUAUCUCUUCCAUGAGGCAAGCAUGUUUCCAUGACUACCGAUCCUGAAAGCGUCCACCAGGUGGUGUACAGGACCAGGGCCAAAGCACUGUGGGCUGGCCAGCCCUCAGAGGACUGAUGCAUAGCUGGCAGUGUGAGGAGAAGUGGACUGCAUUGCUAAGCACUCCAUCAGCAUUCCACUUGAGGCAAGCUAGACAGGGCAGUUUCAGCAUGUGCCUAAAAAUGCACUGAAGAUCAGGUGAAUGCCGCACAGUAGGAGUGAGGGCUCUGUGUGGGCUAUUGAAAGGGCCUCAGUGGUCUGUCUGAGUCAAAACUAUGGGAAUGGAGGCUCACUGUAUGGCUCUCCACUGUAUUGGGGUGUGCUGUCUGCCAUCUUUGGCAAUUCAAGAUGGCUGCAGGGCUAGGCCCUGCUCCUUUCUCCACAGGUUGCAGGCUGAAGUGACGGCAGGCUGACUGACUCAUGAAGCAUUCCUUGUCAGAUGGUUGGCCUCAGGCUGAGGUGGCUGUAUGCAUGCUCUGGAGAGCAGGAGCACUCUGUGUGAGUAGCUGUUCCUGAACAGUCUCCUGUUUGGAGCCUGGGAUGACAGUGAAUUCACUUCCCACCCGUCUGCACCUCCACUUUGCACUGCAGGGAGGACGACGCCACGGGGUUCUUACCAUGUGACGAACAGACAGCUGUAUGCAUGCUGUGGAGAGCAUGAACACUCUGCAUGUAUAUUUGUUCCUAAAGAUUCGGCUUCAUGUAGCCUGGGAUUUGAGCGAAAUGACUUUGUGCUAGUCUGCAGCUCAAAGUUUCACUGGAAGGACGAUGCCUCCAGGUGGUUCUCACAAUG